rnacentral:misc_RNA from 1 species
CAUCUGGACCCAGUCUUGCC